CGCUAAGAAUUGCCAAGAUGGCCAAGUAAACUCAUAUACAAAUAUAUAUAUUCGAGAUCUGGGAGAAAUUCCCCAAUCUUCUUCCUCCAAAAUCCCUAGAUCGCGUCCCUAAUACUAGCUAGAUCCUGACACUCGGCUUCUCCCGCUUCGAAGCCGACGAGCUCAACCGCCUCCUCCCGCAGGCUCUAAAAUGCUAUGGCUAGACAUGGAUUGGUCGUCCUGGGUAGCGCGGAUUCAGUUCGUGCUGAUAGUAUGUCCUGCACCCAGGCUGAAACUAGUGUUGAGGAGUGACAAACAGCACGUUGUUUUGGCAUUACAUUGAAGAAUAUUCGGGGUUUCUGAUAGAGUAUGCUACAUUCAGCUUUGAUUAUACCCAAACCUCAAUCUAUUACCAUUACAUUGGAUGGUAUAUCAAUUUGAUCCCCAUAUUAGUGGUUUGCACUAAUUGGUGUCUAACAAUCUACUGUUAUCAGUGUGCAAUGUUUUCCUGACUUCAGUGUCUAGCACCUCCUGCGGCUGGGACGCCACGGACGCUGCCCCCAAGCUUGGCGUCGCCAGCUGCACCGCGUGUGCCUGGGGUGCCAGGAGUGAGCUUGGGGGCAGCCAUGCCGCCGGCGGUUGCAUGGAGCGACUUGGAGGAUGGGGCCGGAUGGGGGCGAAGCCGAUCCUUUGGUAUAAGGAGCACGCUCUUACCCUCUUCUCUCCGUCUUAAUCAUCAAUCGGUUUCCAGUUCACAAAAUGGCAAUGGGACAGUCUUCACUGCUCUGAACUUGCCAACAUUGUUCAAGUGUUCGUUCUCCAGCCUGCAAUCCAGUCAACCUAGAGCUGGUACACGGUGGUGCCUGUGGACGUUAUGAGGACCAUCCACACCCAGAAUGGCGUCGGUGUUGCUUUGUACUGGAGCCUGACAGCAGCCGCGACCAUUGCUGACACAUACUUCCCAGCGUUGGCGAGUUGAUUUACGUCAUGUUCCUCCAGGUAUCUUCUUAAACACUUUUGAAAAUGGCCACAAAUCUUAGUUUGAAAUUGAUCCUGACAAGUUGUAAUCUUAAUAUUGUUCGUUCGUCUAUCGAUUCAUACCUGCAUAGCUCUCCAGUAGUAAGGGAGAAAAGAGAUCACAUAGGCCAGGUGUUUGUACUGCUGGUUCUUAGUACAAGUCUCAUAUGGGUAAGCCCUAAAGCUUCCUGCCAUGAAGUAGCACGCUACAAACUCCGUGUGCCUUAACAAUGGGAUCUGGAACAUACACAAGUUUAAUUUAUAAGAACUUGCAUUUUAA